UGGGGAAUAUUGCACAAUGGGGGAAACCCUGAUGCAGCGACGCCGCGUGAACGAAGAAGGUAUUCGUAUCGUAAAGUUCUGUCCUAUGGGAAGAUAAUGACAGUACCAUAGAAGAAAGCUCCGGCUAAAUACGUGCCAGCAGCCGCGGUAAUACGUAUGGAGCGAGCGUUGUCCGGAAUUAUUGGGCGUAAAGGGUACGCAGGCGGUUUAAUAAGUCGAAUGUUAAAGAUCGGGGCUCAACCCCGCAAAGCAUUGGAAACUGAUAAACUUGAGUAGUGAAGAGGAAAGUGGAAUUCCUAGUGUAGUGGUGAAAUACGUAGAUAUUAGGAGGAAUACCAGUAGCGAAGGCGACUUUCUGGACACAAACUGACGCUGAGGUACGAAAGCGUGGGGAGCAAACAGG
rnacentral:rRNA from 1 species